rnacentral:rRNA from 3 species
GGGUUGUGAGGUUAAGCGACUAAGCGUACACGGUGGAUGCCCUGGCAGUCAGAGGCGAUGAAGGACGUGCUAAUCUGCGAUAAGCGCCGGUAAGGUGAUAUGAACCGUUAUAACCGGCGAUUUCCGAAUGGGGAAACCCAGUGUGAUUCGUCACACUAUCAUUAACUGAAUCCAUAGGUUAAUGAGGCGAACCGGGGGAACUGAAACAUCUAAGUACCCCGAGGAAAAGAAAUCAACCGAGAUUCCCCCAGUAGCGGCGAGCGAACGGGGAGGAGCCCAGAGCCUGAAUCAGCAUGUGUGUUAGUGGAAGCGUCUGGAAAGGCGCGCGAUACAGGGUGACAGCCCCGUACACAAAAGCGCAUGUGCUGUGAGCUCGAUGAGUAGGGCGGGACACGUGGUAUCCUGUCUGAAUAUGGGGGGACCAUCCUCCAAGGCUAAAUACUCCUGACUGACCGAUAGUGAACCAGUACCGUGAGGGAAAGGCGAAAAGAACCCCGGCGAGGGGAGUGAAAAAGAACCUGAAACCGUGUACGUACAAGCAGUGGGAGCACAGGUUUACCUGUGUGACUGCGUACCUUUUGUAUAAUGGGUCAGCGACUUAUAUUCUGUAGCAAGGUUAACCGUAUAGGGGAGCCGUAGGGAAACCGAGUCUUAACCGGGCGUUAAGUUGCAGGGUAUAGACCCGAAACCCGGUGAUCUAGCCAUGGGCAGGUUGAAGGUUGGGUAACACUAACUGGAGGACCGAACCGACUAAUGUUGAAAAAUUAGCGGAUGACCUGUGGCUGGGGGUGAAAGGCCAAUCAAACCGGGAGAUAGCUGGUUCUCCCCGAAAGCUAUUUAGGUAGCGCCUCGUGAAUUCAUCUCCGGGGGUAGAGCACUGUUUCGGCUAGGGGGCCAUCCCGGCUUACCAACCCGAUGCAAACUGCGAAUACCGGAGAAUGUUAUCACGGGAGACACACGGCGGGUGCUAACGUCCGUCGUGAAGAGGGAAACAACCCAGACCGCCAGCUAAGGUCCCAAAGUCAUGGUUAAGUGGGAAACGAUGUGGGAAGGCCCAGACAGCCAGGAUGUUGGCUUAGAAGCAGCCAUCAUUUAAAGAAAGCGUAAUAGCUCACUGGUCGAGUCGGCCUGCGCGGAAGAUGUAACGGGGCUAAACCAUGCACCGAAGCUGCGGCAGCGAACGUAUCACCCAAGACAACUUUACGGAGUUGACGAUUGACGGAGCGAAGCGACGUCAAAGCGUUCAUUAAAGUCGAGUUGGCUUAGGGAUACGUUCGUUGGGUAGGGGAGCGUUCUGUAAGCCUGUGAAGGUGUGUCGUGAGGCAUGCUGGAGGUAUCAGAAGUGCGAAUGCUGACAUAAGUAACGAUAAAGCGGGUGAAAAGCCCGCUCGCCGGAAGACCAAGGGUUCCUGUCCAACGUUAAUCGGGGCAGGGUGAGUCGACCCCUAAGGCGAGGCCGAAAGGCGUAGUCGAUGGGAAACGGGUUAAUAUUCCCGUACUUGGUGUUACUGCGAAGGGGGGACGGAGAAGGCUAUGUUGGCCGGGCGACGGUUGUCCCGGUUUAAGCGUGUAGGUGUGUGUUCCAGGUAAAUCCGGUUCACUUUAACACUGAGGCGUGACGACGAGGCACUACGGUGCUGAAGCAACAAAUGCCCUGCUUCCAGGAAAAGCCUCUAAGCAUCAGGUAACACGAAAUCGUACCCCAAACCGACACAGGUGGUCAGGUAGAGAAUACCAAGGCGCUUGAGAGAACUCGGGUGAAGGAACUAGGCAAAAUGGUGCCGUAACUUCGGGAGAAGGCACGCUGACACGUAGGUGAAGUGAUUUACUCAUGGAGCUGAAGUCAGUCGAAGAUACCAGCUGGCUGCAACUGUUUAUUAAAAACACAGCACUGUGCAAACACGAAAGUGGACGUAUACGGUGUGACGCCUGCCCGGUGCCGGAAGGUUAAUUGAUGGGGUCAGCGCAAGCGAAGCUCCUGAUCGAAGCCCCGGUAAACGGCGGCCGUAACUAUAACGGUCCUAAGGUAGCGAAAUUCCUUGUCGGGUAAGUUCCGACCUGCACGAAUGGCGUAAUGAUGGCCAGGCUGUCUCCACCCGAGACUCAGUGAAAUUGAACUCGCUGUGAAGAUGCAGUGUACCCGCGGCAAGACGGAAAGACCCCGUGAACCUUUACUAUAGCUUGACACUGAACAUUGAGCCUUGAUGUGUAGGAUAGGUGGGAGGCUUUGAAGUGUGGACGCCAGUCUGCAUGGAGCCGACCUUGAAAUACCACCCUUUAAUGUUUGAUGUUCUAACGUGGACCCGUAAUCCGGGUUGCGGACAGUGUCUGGUGGGUAGUUUGACUGGGGCGGUCUCCUCCUAAAGAGUAACGGAGGAGCACGAAGGUUGGCUAAUCCUGGUCGGACAUCAGGAGGUUAGUGCAAUGGCAUAAGCCAGCUUGACUGCGAGCGUGACGGCGCGAGCAGGUGCGAAAGCAGGUCAUAGUGAUCCGGUGGUUCUGAAUGGAAGGGCCAUCGCUCAACGGAUAAAAGGUACUCCGGGGAUAACAGGCUGAUACCGCCCAAGAGUUCAUAUCGACGGCGGUGUUUGGCACCUCGAUGUCGGCUCAUCACAUCCUGGGGCUGAAGUAGGUCCCAAGGGUAUGGCUGUUCGCCAUUUAAAGUGGUACGCGAGCUGGGUUUAGAACGUCGUGAGACAGUUCGGUCCCUAUCUGCCGUGGGCGCUGGAGAACUGAGGGGGGCUGCUCCUAGUACGAGAGGACCGGAGUGGACGCAUCACUGGUGUUCGGGUUGUCAUGCCAAUGGCACUGCCCGGUAGCUAAAUGCGGAAGAGAUAAGUGCUGAAAGCAUCUAAGCACGAAACUUGCCCCGAGAUGAGUUCUCCCUGAGACUUAGAGUCUCCUGAAGGAACGUUGAAGACGACGACGUUGAUAGGCCGGGUGUGUAAGCGCAGCGAUGCGUUGAGCUAACCGGUACUAAUGAACCGUGAGGCUUAACCUUACAACGCCGAAG